rnacentral:rRNA from 1 species
ACGAACGCUGGCGGCGUGCUUAACACAUGCAAGUCGAACGGAAAGGCCCUGCUUUUGUGGGGUGCUCGAGUGGCGAACGGGUGAGUAACACGUGAGUAACCUGCCCUUGACUUUUGGAUAACUUCAGGAAACUGGGGCUAAUACCGGAUAGGAGCUCCUGCUUCAUGGUGGGGGUUGGAAAGUUUCGGCGGUUGGGGAUGGACUCGCGGCUUAUCAGCUUGUUGGUGGGGUAGUGGCUUACCAAGGCUUUGACGGGUAGCCGGCCUGAGAGGGUGACCGGCCACAUUGGGACGGAGAUACGGCCCAGACUCCUACGGGAGGCAGCAGUGGGGAAUAUUGCACAAUGGGCGGAAGCCUGAUGCAGCAACGCCGCGUGCGGGAUGACGGCCUUCGGGUUGUAAACCGCUUUCGCCUGUGACGAAGCGUGAGUGACGGUAAUGGGUAAAGAAGCACCGGCUAACUACGUG